rnacentral:RNase_P_RNA from 1 species
GCGAUGAACCAGACUGCCGCCUGACCGCCGGAAAAACGAGCGGCCGGGAGGAAAGUCCGGGCUCCGCAGGACAUGAUGCCGGGUAAUUCCCGGGACUGCCUUUUGGCAGGACGGACAGCGCCACAGAAAAAAAACCGCCUGUGGUUUCUGGUUACGGAAACUAUAGGUAAGGGUGAAAAGGCGGGGUAAGAGCCCACCGCGGUAUUGGCAACAAUACCGGCUGGCAAGCCCCAUCAGGAGCAAAAUCAAGCAGCGUCGUGAACGGCUUGCCGUUCACGGUGAGGUUGCGUAGACGCAAUUGCGUAAGUGAUUGCGGCUGCAUCUUUCAGCCGGUUGUCCGCCGGUUAAACGCGGGUAGACUGCAAAAAAUGGCCGGUAACGGUCAUUUCAGACAGAUGGCAGCCGGCCGGCCUCUGGUCGGCAACAGAACCCGGCUUAUGGUUCGUCGCUUUU